AUGGAAAGCUCGCAAUGAUUUGAGAUUUAAUAAUAAAAAGUGGUAUGUUCAUAGGGUGGGCUUUGAGGUGAUGGCUGACAUAACAGCUUCUUCUCCUCUUGAUUCAAUUAUGCCUACUUUCAGGAGUUCGCGAAUUCCUGCACCUCAAGCACAUAGGAUUCAGCCUUUCAGACCUCAACAAGCCUUGUUAACCAGCUGCUCAGACAUAGCGAUUGAUCCAGAUAGAGCAGGGGUUGGAUCAAAAGUCACAGGUCCCAACGGUGAUUCUAGGAGAGUUGGAGGCCAUCUUUUGGGGAGUCAAAUGUACUGCUGAACUGCUUUCAGAACCUUUCUGUUGGGGAACUGAUAGCCUUCUGGCUGUUUAGUACAUGCAGAAGGAUCUUCAUCAAGUACCUUGGAGGCUCAGAGCCAAGAUCUCUCAACUCAAAUUGCUUCAAAGGAAUCAUCCAUUCCAGGUGAUGAAGGUUUCUAGAAGACAGAAUGCAGAAGCUCAUUGUUUAGCUAGACAAGCUAAAGCAUCUUUAUCAACUACUUCUACUGUAGUUUUGUGCAAUACUGCUGCUCAUGGGCCUUCCUGCCCUGUUAUAGCUGUACUCUUGAAUGUACUCCAGGGGCCUUUAGAUCUCCUGAAUGUAUGUUGUUCUAAUUAAUAAAUAAGCAUGUUGCUUUUCAAAAAAAAA